rnacentral:rRNA from 1 species
UACGUAGGGUGCAAGCGUUGUCCGGAAUUAUUGGGCGUAAAGAGCUCGUAGGCGGUCUGUCGCGUCGGCUGUGAAAACUCGGGGCUCAACCCCGAGCCUGCAGUCGAUACGGGCAGACUAGAGUGCUGUAGGGGAGACUGGAAUUCCUGGUGUAGCGGUGAAAUGCGCAGAUAUCAGGAGGACACCAGUGGCGAAGGCGGACUCACUGGCCC